rnacentral:rRNA from 1 species
UAAGGAAUAUUGGUCAAUGGACGCAAGUCUGAACCAGCCAUGCCGCGUGGAGGAUUAAGGCCCUCUGGGUUGUAAACUCCUUUUAUCUGGGAAGAAAUGUACUUUUUCUUGAGUACUUGACGGUACCAGAGGAAUAAGCACCGGCUAACUACGUGCCAGCAGCCGCGGUAAUACGUAGGUGGCAAGCGUUGUCCGGAUUUAUUGGGUUUAAAGGGUGCGUAGGCGGCUUUGUAAGUCAGUGGUGAAAUAUGGCAGCUCAACUGUCAGGGUGCCAUUGAUACUGCAGAGCUUGAGUACAGAUGAGGUAGGCGGAAUUGACGGUGUAGCGGUGAAAUGCUUAGAUAUCGUCAAGAACACCGAUAGCGAAGGCAGCUUACUGGGCUGUAACUGACGCUGAGGCACGAAAGUGUGGGGAUCAAAC